rnacentral:rRNA from 1 species
AGAGUGAACGCUGGCGGUAGGCCUAACACAUGCAAGUCGAACGGCAGCACAGUAGGAGCUUGCUCUUACGGGUGGCGAGUGGCGGACGGGUGAGGAAUACAUCGGAAUCUACCUUUUGGUGGGGGAUAACGUAGGGAAACUUACGCUAAUACCGCAUACGCCCUUCGGGGGAAAGCCGGGGACCAGCAAUGGCCUGGUGCUGAUAGAUGAGCCGAUGUCGGAUUAGCUAGUUGGUGAGGUAAUGGCUCACCAAGGCGACGAUCCGUAGCUGGUCUGAGAGGAUGAUCAAGCCACACUGGAACUGAAGACACGGUCCAGACCCCGUAGGGAGCAGCAGUGGGAAUAGUGGACAAGUGGGCACGAAGCCUAGACUACCGAGCCAAGUACCCGG